rnacentral:rRNA from 1 species
UACGAAAGGACAAGAGAGACAGGGCCCACUUAAAAUAAGCGCCCUAACUAAUUAGAUGAAAUAAUCUCAAUCUUAUAUAAAUAUAAAUUUAACCCAAGAAUAGGGUUCA